AUUGAACGCUGGCGGCAGGCCUAACACAUGCAAGUCGAACGGUAACAGGAAGAAGCUUGCUUCUUUGCUGACGAGUGGCGGACGGGUGAGUAAUGUCUGGGAAACUGCCUGAUGGAGGGGGAUAACUACUGGAAACGGUAGCUAAUACCGCAUAACGUCGCAAGACCAAAAAGGGGGGCCUUCGGGCCUCUUGCCAUCGGAUGUGCCCAGAUGGGAUUAGCUAGUAGGUGGGGUAACGGCUCACCUAGGCGACGAUCCCUAGCUGGUCUGAGAGGAUGACCAGCCACACUGGAACUGAGACACGGUCCAGACUCCUACGGGAGGCAGCAGUGGGGAAUAUUGCACAAUGGGCGCAAGCCUGAUGCAGCCAUGCCGCGUGUAUGAAGAAGGCCUUCGGGUUGUAAAGUACUUUCAGCGGGGAGGAAGGGAGUAAAGUUAAUACCUUUGCUCAUUGACGCUACCCGCAGAAGAAGCACCGGCUAACUCCGUG
rnacentral:rRNA from 1 species